rfam:Populus trichocarpa scaffold_4_contig_338, whole genome shotgun sequence.
UCUAGAACUCGAGAUAUGGACUGAAAACUGAAUAGUGUUUGGGCUGUAGGACAGAUUCCGACUUCUCUUUUAUUGCUACAAUUUGAACUUGAAAACGACCAUUUUGAAUCUUGGACUCUUCAUAAAUGUUUUAGGCCUAUAUCUUAGCUUUCCAUC